ensembl:lncRNA
GAUGAAUCCGGGUCUAGAAGGCACCAAUGUAACCGGUGCUGUACUGCACCGCUGUAACUCUGGGUUGUAUAUGUGGUUGAUUGAGACUAUAGACGGGGACUUUGGAGAUCAGGGAGUUUUAACAAAGCAGAAUUCACUCUGCAUCCUGCAUCCAAAAGAAAAGAAAACAUUUGUAGAGCACAUAUGUUCCGCGAAUCGUCGCCUCUUAUAGGAGGGACUGGGAUCAUUCGAGGAGCUAGCCAUCAUUCACACAUUCAAUAGCCUGCCGAUACCUUAGCUAGCUAUUAACCACAUGUUGAAAUAAUCCUAAAAAGUACAAUUACAUCGUAACAAUACCAUCCACUUAUGAGUAACCUCUAAAUAGACAUUAUUCAUGAACAAAACACUGUAUGACUGUGCUUAAAAUAAUCAAACUUUUCUGAAGACAGAAAAAGCGGGCCAACCUCAAAGUGCAUGAAAAUGAUUUGAGCACGAGCAAGCAGGGCAACACGAUGAAGGAGACAGAGGUGGCAAGAAUAAGGGCUGUCCAGAGCGUCUCCUAUCCGGAGGCAUUGAGAAGAGUGGAAGAAGAAAGAAGGCCUACUUUUCAAGGCUGCAGUUUGAGGGGCCCUAACGCAACUAUCAACCCUGAGAGAACCAGUUGAUACUGCAGGUCUUCAGGAUGCUCUUCAGCCCAGAAACAUCAGUUAAGUGAUACGAGAGAACCUGACAAGCACAUCCUUGCCGCAGCGGUUGCUGAAAUCUACAAGAAACCAGCAUGAUGACUGUCUAGGUCAGGCCUGUGCAAAGACUGGGUCCGGGGGCUACUCAAAUCACAUAAAGAGUUUGUAAUAGUAAAGUUUUGAAAAACGUAUUUGUUAUUCAAAUUAAAUCCCAA